GACGAACGCUGGCGGCGUGCUUAACACAUGCAAGUCGAGCGGAAAGGCCCUGCUUUUGUGUGGUGCUCGCGUGGCGAGCGGGUGAGUAACACAUGAGUAACCUGCCCUUGACUGUGGGAUAACUUCAGGCAACUGGGGCUAAUACCUGCUAGGAGCUCCUGCUGCAUGGGGGGGGUUGGAAAGUUUCGGCGGUUGGGGCUGGACUCGCGGCUUAUCAGCUUGUUGGGGGGGUAGUGGCUUACCAAGGCUUUGACGGGUGGCCGGCCUGGGAGGGUGAACGGCCACCUUGGGACUGCGAUACGGACCAGUCUGCAACGGUAGGCAGCAGUGGGGAAUAUUGCACAACGGGGGGACGUGUGUGGAAGAGGCGCCGCGAGCGGGAUGCCGGCCUUCGGGUUGUGAACCGCUGUAGCCUGUGACGAAGCGUGAGUGACGGUAAUGGGUAAAGAAGCACCGGCUAACUACGUG
rnacentral:rRNA from 1 species